UAUAUAAAUUUUCGCAUACAUCAUUUAUUAAAAUUAAAAAUAAGACUUUAGAAACGCCAGUUUCUUAACAAAUAUGUUUUAUUUCAAAGGCAAUAAAUAAAAUUUUACUAUUUUCAUACGUUGCAGUAUUUAUAGUGCAUACUUGUAAAAGGCAUGCACACAUACCAGCACUUUUAUUCAAUUUUAUAUUUACCUUUUUCUAAUUUUAUUUUAGCGAAUGAACAAAAUAACGCGUAUCUAUCGAUAUCGAUAGAUAAUUCAAUGAGCUACGUGGUGCGGCCUUGGCUGAGUAGCAUUAGAAAUCGACCGAUCACGGCAAUGUCAACCAUAUUUUAAACGCAAUUAAGUUUAUAAUUGCUACCACUUAGAAUACCGCCAUCUAUGGUCAAAUAGCGGAAUUAACUGGACAAUCAAAUUUAGUGUGACUAUAGCUCGUAAGUACGUUCUUCCGCUAAAGCAAAAUAAAUCUUAUUUCUAGAACGUCAGGGUUUGUUUCCAAAUCUGUGACGUAGGCUAGUUUUGACUAAACUUAAAACGACAAAUCAAACGGUUUGUUUCUUUGUAGUGCAAUAUAUGUUUAUCGGUAUAUUUGUAUGAGUUUGGCGACAGCGGUUCCUAUAGUAAUUUUGGUGCAUUGCACUUCCACUGUUUUUUCUGUUCCGUGCCAAAUACCAAUA